AACCAUGCAGUGUGGCUUGCAGUACAGAGAGGAGGAUCUGGUAUAAGUAAGCAAGUGUACUCAUCAGCAAAGCAUCCAGCAUUCCAGCUAGCGAGCAGCUAGUACUAGAAUCUAUAUAUCGUACACAAGUAGUGGAGGCAUCUAUCUGCAGUCCCUUUCUUCUUCCUCUCGAUUGAUAGGUGCAUCGUCGAUCGAAGCUUAUUUGUUUUCUUGGGUGGCCUUUGUCUCUGUCUGCCGGCCAGCCACCAAGCUAUUAAGUCCAUCCAGCGCCAAGCAGCUCACAGAGAUCGGUCGACGACGGGGACAAUUCGGAGCUAGCUAGGGAGGAUCGGAGGAGAAGGACACCAUCAACGACGCCUGGCCGGCCGCUGCCGUAGGGGAGGAAGAUCGAGGAGGCCGAUCGACGACACCGAUGGACGAUCAUCUUCAUCAUCAGUUGAUGGCGACACCGGCAGCAGCAGCAGCAAGCAUGUGCGGCAGCAAGAGCAAGAAGCUGCAGGGCGGUGGUGGUGGUGAGCAUCGUAGUAGUAGGGGCAGCGGCGGCGGCAACAGUCCGCCGGCGGCGAUGAGGAAGGGCCCGUGGACGGAGGAGGAAGACGCUCAGCUGGUAUGGUUCGUCCGCUUGUUUGGUGAACGCCGGUGGGAUUUCUUAGCAAAGGUCUCAGGUUUGCGCGGUGGCGGGUGAAUCCCUAAGCAUCAUGCAUAUAUACAUAUAUGUAUAUAUAUACAUGCGUGCUUGGGGGAAUGAUGUAGGCUAUGGCGAUGGGUGUUAAUUAACCAGUUUUUUUUUCCUUGUUUUUUCUCUCCUUCUCCUUCUCUGUGCAUGCGCAUGUGUCGGCGUACUUAUAUAUGCAGGUCUGAGGCGCACCGGCAAGAGCUGCCGCCUACGGUGGGUCAACUACCUCCACCCGGGGCUCCGGCGCGGCCGCAUCACCGCCGACGAGGAGCGCCUGAUCCUGCAGCUCCACGAGCAGUGGGGCAGCCGGUGGUCGCGCAUCGCUAGGAGCCUGCCCGGGCGCACCGACAACGAGAUCAAGAACUUCUGGAGGACGCGCGCCAGGAAGCAGAAGGCGGCGGCGCAGCAGCAGCAGGGCAGCCGGAGCAGCAAGACGGCGUCGGCGUUCUCGGGGUCGUCGUCGUCGUCGUCCGUGACAGCCACCACGUCCAGGUCCAGCUGCUCUGGCUCUCCGAGUCCGAGUCCGAGUCCGAGCAGCGGCGGCUGUGGCGGCACGGCCACCACGUCAUCUUCUGCCGUGACCGAGUCAGCGCUGCGGCAAAGCAGCGGCGGCGACAACGACGACGAGGACGCCGAGCUCGACGAGGCGUCCACCACCACCGCCGCAAGGCAACAUCAGUAUCAUCACCAGCAGCAGCAGCAGGAGUGCUACGCCUCUGACCACUUCUUCUGGAACGACAUCGCGGCGGCGGAGGCGGCGAGCUACAUGUUCAUCGACGGCUUGGCAGGAGCCGGUCCCGGUGGUCAUCCCGCAACCGCAGAGGUGGGCGCGGAGCCGCCUUCGUCGCCGACGUGGGAGUACUGCUCGGAUUACUCGCUCUGGAGGAUCGACGACAACGAGUACUACAAGAAGAUGCUCGACUCCUCCUGAUUUCAUCAGGAGCCAUCUAUAUAUGCAUAUCGAUCAUUAGCUUAUUUGUUUUCUGCUGUUUAGUCUAGCAGCUAUAUGAAUUCAAACGUUCGCCUUUAAUAUUUCGUUGCAUCUGUUCGUAUGUUAUAUGUAAUAAUAUACUAAGUACAUAUAUGUAUUUGCAUCUGCAUACUGUAACUACAUAGUAUAUAUCUACACGUAGUGACGUACUUUGAAGCAUAUAUAUGUGUGUACGAAACUACGGUGCAUGCAUCUGCAUACUGUAUCAUAUUGUACGAAACAUGUCAUUAUUAUUGUCUUGUGAUUUCUGAAAGAAUCAGUUGAAACUCGACAACAAUUGUAGGGUCAUGCUGCUUCUAUAUAUGUAUAUUCAUGUAAUAAGAUUAUAAGUGAUUAUGAGAUUAAUUUGUAUAUGAGAUCUUCUGUAGUUUCUGAGCAACUAUGUUUGUCCUGAAUCUCUUAUGCCUCAGCAACCUCUCUACUUUUUUUUUGAGGUAACCUCUCUACUUAUUUUAGAGGAUUAUAUAUAAUGGUGGAAGGAAAAUACUGCACAUGUACGCUUCAAUACUGAGUUACUGACCCGACAACUUCAUUCACCACCAAAUAAUUAAACUAAACAUGAAGCAAAAGACAUGUUUGGAUCAUCCUUGAUAUUAUAAUCAGACAAAAAUAAUUUCUAGGUGAUCCAAACAUCCUAGAUUAUGAGCUUGAUUAUAAUAACCUAACUUAAAUAGAUUAUUGUAAUCCUAUAUAAUCCAUCUAAAACUUACUCCUAAGCCAUAACAGGAGAGUACUAUAGAUGAGUGGGAAAUAAUAAUCUAGUACCUAUAUAUACAAUCUAGGACAAUUUAAAAAAAAAACCCAGAUUAUUACAACUAAUCCUUAUCACAACUCAUCAGAUUCUAAUAACCCAAAAGUGAUGCAAACAUGCCAUAAGGACUUGUUUAUAAUUAGUUACAAUACUCAAGUAAUCUUGCCUGGUGCUCUGUGCAACCUGAGGCAGGCCAUGGCCAUGAACCAAAUAGGCUUUAAGUGCGCUGCGGGUCUCUAAGCUAGAAUCUGCACAUCUCGGAACUUUUACACUCCAAAGCUCUAAAUUUUGAAUUUUCGUCCAAGAAACUAAAAACAAAGAUCCUUAAUCCUAUAACUGCAAACAGGGUUACAGGGAGGUGCAAUGUGCAUGCAUGGGAAUCUAUAACUAUAUAUCUAACUAAAUUGAUUGAUGCCAUGGAAUGGAAUGGAAUUGGAAUUGGAAUGAAUAUGAUGGAAGGAACAAGGCAAGGCCCGUGCAUUGCAGCUAGCAUCGUCAAAAUAAACCAUCCAUUUCCAUUCCAAAGCUACGGCCAAUUGGCCAUUGGCCCGGAGUGAGCGCUUACUUUUCAGACCGUGCCACGUACGCGCAGGUCCCAAUCCCACCUUUUUCCGUGCAUCGAUCGCAUCCACCAUGCACCUUUCCAUAUCCCAAAUAGUACUUGCUAUUUGACAACACACCAAGAACGAUUAGUUAGCAGACUAUCUAGUAAUAGAAUAUAGUGUAUUACAACUUUUAAAAUUUGUACUAAAAUAUAUAUUUGUACGUGGUGCCAAUACACAUAUUUAUCAAAGUUUGUCCAAACGGAAACUAAUUUAAGAAGAAACUCCUUAAUUGGGUUUAACCUAUGGGUAAAUGUGUAAAUGUAUCAUUCGAGUAUUCUCUCUAGCUGUCUUAAAAUUUCUGAAAUGCACCGAUGAUGGAGGGAGUAGUAAACUAAAGCUAAUCGCACAUUUAUUAUACCACAUGAGUUUUUUGUGGCCCACAUGUCAACCACAAAGUGUAGGUAGCCUUGCAAAGUUGCAAGUUGGAGCGCUAUGUAGAGAAAGUAGAAUGAAAAUAGUGGCAGAAAGCUAUAGUGAUAAUAGGAAUGCUCGCAUAUAAGUACCUUACCUAGUUUGUUUGUUCCUUUUUAAAAUUGCUACACUUAGCUUAGACCCAACCUAAUUCAGAAUGAGCAUGAUCUUGAUGAAUCACUAACAUACUUGGCCGUAUAGCUCCUAUCGUCCAGCUUUGUCCUUUCGUGAAGACUUUUGUCGUCCUAGCUCCUAAUCCUAACUUAGCAUUAUCGUUGUGCUUUCUUUUACAUCCACUAGUUGUUCAUCACAACCCUUUUUUCAGACACAAACAAGGCCAUUUUUAAAAUGUUGAGUCGCUCAUGGUGAAGUACUAGACAAUAUUUUUGUAAAACAAACAUGACCAUAAGACUUUGGAUGUUGUGAGCAUUUUUAGUGCAUAGAUCUGAGACUGGUAUCUACAAGCAAGUUUUAUGCUUGUAUUAGUAGAUAGAUUUGAGAUUGUAUCAUGGACAUCGAACUUACCACCCUUCCUAGAGAAAUGCCCCCAAUAUCUCUAAUAAGCCAUGGAAAAUCCUAGCUAAUUCCUUUCUAAGCUAUUGAGAAGCUCAUGUUGAAAACAAUUUGGUUGCCACGACAAUAAUGCUCAACUAUGAGCCAAGGACUUUGAUAGUGACACGAGUGGAAGAGAAAUAAUUUGGUCAUGAUUAUGCAUAAGCAUUUUAAGCCUAGCCCACCAAUGCCCAAAACUCACCCAUGGUCCAUGCUAAAAAAAAGUAGGCUUUCUCGAGCUAUUGGAAUGCUUAAGCUAGGCUAGUAGGCUUGAAACAAAUUAGGCUGAGCCCAAGCCCAACCCAACGCACAUUUCCUCAUUUCCCUGUAUUUUGCUCCACGAGCCGUCCUUGUCUUGCUCCUCUGUAUUGCCCUUGCUACGUACUUCCAAUUAACACACUAUCCUAGUUUGUUUGUUUUUUCAAACCGAGGGUUGAACCCCAUUUCCAUUAUGAAGAUAACGAAAAUUCAGUUUGUUGAGGGUAGCAACAGACAUCAAGAAGCUAGAACUGCAGGACAUUAAGGCCUUGUUUAGUUUCACACUUUCACCCAAAAAAUUCAAAAUCUUUUAAGAUUCUCCGUCACAUCGAAUCUUGCGGCAUAUGCAUGGAGCAUUAAAUAUAGAUAAAAAAUACAGUAACUAAUUGCAUAUUUUAGCUGUAAUUUACGAGACGAAUCUUUUAAACCUUGUUAGUUCAUGUUUGGACAAUAAUUACCAAAUAUAAACGAAAGUGCUACAUUACCAAAAAAAAAUUCAGCAAGGAAACUAAACAAGGCCUAAAGACUAGAACCUGAGCUUACCAAACCUGACGUCAACAGACUACUAAUGAAGUGAGAACCCCAAACGGGAGCCACAGAACAGACUCCAGAAACAACUUAACAAGUUUAAACGAGAAUAAGUAAGCAAGACAUAAUGAGCCUAUUACAAAAGUUAGCGGAUCCACAGCCGCUCCAGUUUUUUGGAUCAAAGAAUUUUGUCAAUCAGCUUGAUGGCUAUCAGUAUCACCCGCACCUUGCAGCAGCUGAGGAUCAUCACUCCGGGGCUUCUUGUUCAGCAGCUUAGUUGUAAUCCUUAGCAUGGUAUUGGCCCCUUCCUCCAGAGCCUCUCGGUCCAUUCCUGCAUAUAUGUACUGCCAAUAACUCAUAAGGGCACAUGACAUACAAUCGAGAUUGGAUUUUGAAUUAAUUGCCUUCAAAACACAGCUUAUUUCUAGCUUUCCAUAUUGCCCAGCAUGGCAGCAUAUGGUGGCUCAGGGAUGAAAACGGUACGGAUAUUUUCCGACCGUAUUCGAGACCGAAUUCGUUUAGAGGGGUUCAGAUCUGUCCGUAUCUGAGUCCGAAUAUUUAACAUCUGAUACCGUAUCCGUAUCCGAAUACUUAAAUCGUAUAUUUGUGAUGUCGAGAUCCAAUCAUAUCUUAUCCGACAUGCUAAUUAAUAACCAUAGCUUGUUUAGCUGUUGGCAUCACUCAUCAGUGGAUAUGCUUAGUGAUAAGCUAGACAUCAUCAUUCAGUAAUCGUCUAGAAGGUCUGAAAGAAUCACAUCGUUGACGUUGUUUAACGAUAAGCUGGCUAGCAAGGAUGGAUGAACGGAGUAGCAGAUGUCUGAUGAGAUGAUGAGGGGACUCCUCAGUAGUUAAGCGACUAAGAUUGCCUACCGUCUGAUCCUUUCGUUUCACUUUCUAUCAGAUAUUGAUAUGCAUGGAGUAAGCCUUGUUACUUUCAUAAUUAUCAGUACUUAUCAGUUAUACUGUUCAUGAUAAUUAAUUAAGGAUAUGACUACCAAAGCAAUGGUAACUAAUUAGCGUUGUGGAGACACAAAGUCACGAAUCUAUCCUGAAUCGACACUGAGUAGAGUGUCAUAUCUUGAAUUAUUCCUUAUUGUUCCGUGUAGGAGUUUCUUGUCCUCUGAAAGAAACAGGUGUCCCCAAUCUCACCAGCUGAUGUUCAUAGUUUUGAUACUUAUCAAUAUAGUAAAAACUAUGUAUACUUUAAACUUGGACCAUUAAUAUCUCUUCAGCUUGUCUAGUACUAAACUUUGGAAAUAAAAAGUGUAUCACUAGAUUUACUUGGAAAAUAGUACUCCCUUUGCUUUUUUUUACAAGGAGAAUUUUGUUUUAUAUUAUGAUAAGACUCCUUGGAUCGACAAUUAGUCUAUCUAGGAAUAUUUCAUCCAUCGGAUACAAAAUUGUGAUAAUGAGUAGGCAACUUUUAAAGAAGAAUGUAAUGGCAUAAAUUCUUCAUUGAAAAAAUUAUACAUUGGCAGAACAAAUCAGAACUUGUCCGAACCAAAUGAAAUAAGUCCUGUACAAUUUCAACUGAGGGAGUAUCACUUGACUAAUAAUAAGGGCAUCAAAGUGAUAAAUAAAGGCCCCUAAUUAAAGACCUUAAGUGUGUUUCUUAAACCCGCUCUCUACAUCAUCGUUUGGAGAGAACCAUGUGAAUAAAAAAAUUGUUCUUUAUAUAUAUCUUUCCACCCUCCAACAGUUAAAUAAACACAAUCGUCAUUUGGAGAAUCAUUUGAGGAAAAAAAACGUUCAAUAUAUAUAUAUAUAUAUAUAUAUAUAUAUAUAUAUAUAUAUAUAUAUAUAUAUAUAUAUAUAUAUAUAUAUAUAUAUAUAUAUAUAUAUAUAUCUUUCCGGCCUCCAAUAGUUAGAUAAAUACGAUAAUUAUUACUCUAUCCAUUCCAAAUUGUGAGGCGAUGAAAUCCCAACACUCUGAAUGCCAGGUAUGGACACUUAUUGUCUCUUGUUCUGACUAUAUCGAUAUCGAGCGCCAUCCAAAAUGGACACUUAUUUAUGACUGGAAUACUGGAUGGAGGAGAACAAUUACGUUAGAGUAUGCUAGAUAAAUACGAUAAUCUUAUUGCAAUUUAGAUAGAUGUGAUAUAUAUGGCCUCUAUCAUGCGGGCGGCACUGACGAUCGUCACCACGCACCAUUACGCACUAGCUAUCUCACCUGCUGCCUGCCUGCCUGCCUUCUCUCUGCUCAAUCUCUUAGCCAUCCAUCCAUCCAUCAUGCGCCAUAUCCUCCACCACCAUGCAUUAUACUAUGUGCUCUAUGCUAGCCCAACUACCCAAGUGGACCUCAUAUAAAGGGGAGGCCAGCUGAGCCCAGGGAAUCAAGCAAGCUGUUUCCCCCUGUUGUUUCUUCUUCUUCUUCCUCAGCUCCUUCUUCCUCUCGAUCGAUCGAUCGAGCAUCCAAGCUUGGUCUUUGUUUCUGUCGCUGGAGGAGGUGUAGAUAGCUAGCUAGCAACCGACCGAUCGAUCGACCAUGUCGUCGUCCUUGUUGUGUAGGCGCAGGAACCACAAGAAGGACGGCGAUGGCGAGCAUCAGAUCAUCAUCAGCACCAGCACGCCGGCGGCGAUGAGGAAGGGCCCGUGGACGGACGAGGAGGACGAGCAGCUGGUACGGUUCGUGCGCCUCUUCGGCGAACGCCGAUGGGAUUUCUUAGCAAAGGUGUCAGGUUUGCGCGGUGGCGGGUGCGUCGAUCGAUCUUCCUCCAUCCAUGCCUGCCCUGCCAUCUGCAAUUCUGCAUGCAUGCGUGCAUGAGAUUGAGGAGGAUCGGUCGACACAGUGAGAUCUCCAUCGAGCAGUGUCGUUAACCAUUUGCUUCUUCUUCGUCUGUCUUCUUUGUUCUCCCUCUCUGCAUCCAUCAUGCUGCAUGCGGCUCGAUCGAUCGAUCUUGUGGUGGAUGGAUGGACGUGCAUGCGUGCGUGGUGGUGGUACGUGCAGGUCUGCGGCGCACCGGCAAGAGCUGCCGCCUCCGGUGGGUGAACUACCUCCACCCGGGCCUCCGGCGAGGCCGCAUCACCGCCGACGAGGAGCGACGCAUCGUGGAGCUCCACGCGCAGUGGGGAAGCAGGUGGUCGCGCAUCGCCAGGAGCUUGCCCGGACGCACCGACAACGAGAUCAAGAACUUCUGGAGGACAAGGACCAGGAAGAAGGCUCUCGAGGAGAGGAGGGCGGCAGGGGCGGCUGCGGCCGUGACAGCGACGGCGGAGCCUGCUGCGUCGUCGUCGUCCUCGGUGACGAUGAUAUCCGAGUGCCGCCCCGGAUCCCCCAACAGCGGCGCCGCCACCACGUCGUCCUCGUCGGGGGGUUCGUCGUCGUCGCUGCGGGAAGAGCGCCCCGGCGACGAGGACGCCGAGCUCGAGGAGGCGUCCACGGCCACCACCGCGGCAGGGACAACCAAGCAGCAGCAACAGCAACAGCAGCCGUUGCCGCAGGAGUACUACGACGGUUGCUCCACCAUGGACCAGCUGUGGAACGAGAUCGCGGCAGCCGACGCUGCGGCGAUGAGCUACGUCGUCGACGCCUGCUGGAACGGAGCUGGUCAUUAUUACUAUGGCGCUGCGGCCGCUGAGCCGCCGCCGGCGUCGCCGCCGUGGGAGUACUGCGGCCCAGACUUUUCGCUCUGGAGGAUCGACGACCAAGAGUACUACAAGAAGAUGCUCGACUCCUCCUGAUAUCCGAUUCAUGGCGUAUCCAUCAAUCAUCUACACGCGCUUGUGUGCUCUGUGAAUUUCCAAGCGAGGAACGAAUUACUUAACGGUAGGGAUGGUAGAUUAUCAUCUAUCGUCUUAGACUAAUUAAUUAGUAAGAGCUUAUGAAUCUAUGAUGAGAGCGAAGUAGAUCAUGCAUGGUGGUGAGAUGAGAGCGCUUUGUAUUAAUGGUGGUUAAACUAGUGUGAUCGACUGAUGAAUAUAAUAUAUAUGUAGUUUGCAUUUGUCUUAAUCGAUUGAUCGAUCUCUGAUCGACGGUACUUGUAUAUUAUGUAACCUAGCUUUACUUAUUGGUUAUAUUACUACUUGUUGUGGCUUAAAAGAUGGAUGAUAUGAAAUCUGUCGGUGAGUUUUACCAUGUGCAUUUGCAGUUAUAUGUUGCACUGAUUAUUAGUAGUAGUAUUAGGUGCGGUGACAAAAGUAUAAGCUGAGAGCAAGCAGAACAAUGAUCAAUUGUGAUUUCACCAAAGCGAGUACAGGGUAUAUAUAUAUAUAUAGAUUCUCACUCCAUUUUUGCUCUAUAUAUGUGCUACUUAUCAUAAGUUCAUAACACUGAAGAAAACACAAAACGAAAAUGAAAAAUUUAUGUCAUGCAACAAGGAAAAGAAGAUCCAUCAGAAGUUCACUAAAGCUUGCCUUGACUGAAACGGCAUAUAUUCAUCAUUAGGAGCUAAUAACGAAAGUGUUUCUCAUCAUCAUGGAAUUUCAGUUUGACCGCUCCUGAUGAACACGUGUCAAUAUAUAUGCAGACUCUUGCAAAGAAAAUAAAUAACAGAAUCGUAGAGACUACAGAAUCUGCACCAGAGAAAUUGAAAUUUAUACCACAAAAUUCCAUAUUCGAAGAGAGUGCACGCAUGAUAGAUGCAUCCAUGCAUGCAUGGCGGCGGUGUGGUUGAUUGCUUGCUGCAUGGGAAUCUAAUAAUGGGACCCUAGCUCCCAGCAUCUUUGAUAUAUCGAAGAGAUGCUUGGUGAGAGAUGCAAGAGCAGCAGGAGGAGGAAGAAGAGCAGCAGGGAGGCUAGCCUAGCGCCAUUGUUGGUGCAGGUCCCUAUCCAAGCUUUUUCCUUGCGUGUGCUGCCACCUUUCCAUAUCCCUCUAAUCGUGUCAGAUUCCAAACCCCAUCGUCGCAAACUAAUAACACUAGAUUUGAUACUAUAUAGCAAGUGUAUGUGAUGAGAGUGAUCGAUGGAGAUUAGUGGGUGAACCACAUCACCUGUACGUGGGGCCAUAUCCUGGACAAUGAAAAUGCUACACGCACACACACACAAAAAACAAAACAAAAUAGUAUCUAGGUAAAUGCCCAUUUAAGUUACUGCACAUCAGCCUUUUUGUUCCUUUUGUUUCCUGUUUUUGGCUAGUGUUUUGUUUGCUCUUCCUUCUAAUAAUAUAGCGUGACAAAAUCUCUUGUAGUCCUUUUGGAACAAAACCAUGUUUGCCUGACCUCCUAAACUUUGCUUUUCACUAUCUAGCAUAAAACCAUCAGGAAUUACUGAAAUAUAUUUAGGAAUGAUGCAAUUCCAGAUAGCAAACCAUGAGGAAUAUGCCGACAUGAGCUGGUAAUCAGGACUUUAUUUACUCUAAUCCUAUGAUUUCUUAAAAUCAUAUCAAUAUUCAGCUUUGCUUGUCAGCCAAUUUCCGUUUUCACCUGCUUGGAUUAGUCUUCAUGGAUCACUGCAGGUCCAAACCUAGCAUCGUUGCUAGCUAGAAUUAGAGCCAACAGAGGGUAAUCGGUAGUGAUGAGCUUCAACAUCUUCCUAGACUCAGCAAUGGUAGGAAGAUUGAACAAACAAAUGUGCAUCCAAUGUCAUCAUAUGGACUCGGAACAUAAGAUGUUUUGGUAGACUAACUUUGUGUGACUAAUACCAAACAUCAUAUAUAUAUAUAUAUAUAUAUAUAUAUAUAUAUAUAUAUAUAUAUAUAUAUAUAUAUAUAUACACACACACACUAAAUUGUAGUUGCCUACGCUUUGCCAUAGUGACCUUAGAUUGUAAGUGAAGGCUAAGCAACUCCAUCGGUUCUUCUAUCCUCUUUCCACUACGGGAAACUGCUGAUUUGCCGGGUGUAAAAUAGUUUGCCGGAAGCUUUUUAUCGGGCACCCGGCAAAGGCAUUCUUUGCCGGGUGCCGGACAGAGAGGCUCCCGGCAAAAAGAAACACCCGACAAAGUUCAGCCAUCGGCAAAAUUUAUUCUUUGCCGGGAGCCGCCACUCGGCAAAAUAUGACUGUCGGUAAAGUCGAUCGGCGUGAAGGCAGCCACCUGUCGUCAGCCUUUGCCGGGUGCCACACCGUUAGGCACCCGCCAAAGGUUUUCUAUUUUUUUUUUUUGAAAAAAGUCUUCCCAGCUUUGCCGAGUGCCAGGGCCAGGCCACUCGGCAAAGAUUUCUUUUAAAAAAAUUAGAAAACCCUUUACUGGGUGCUGGCCGCCGGCAAAGAAAUUCCAAAAAAAAUCUAAAUUCUUUGUCAGGUGCCUCUGUCAUGGCACCCGGCAAAGAAUCAGCAGACGGGAUCGCGCCGUGACGGUCACUUUUCUUUGCCGGGAGCCGGGCGCGGCUCCCGGCAAAGACUUUGCCGGGUGUUCGACAAAAAGCUCCCGGCAAAGACUCCUUGGCCGGGUCGUUUUUUGCCGGAGGCUCUUUGCCGGGUUCUACACCCGGCAAAGCACCUGAAUCCUGUAGUGUUCCCUCAAAUUGUCCUAUAGGGAUUGAGGAAACUGAAUUACAAGAUAUAGGGGAGGGCUGCUAGCUGCAGCAGAUUGAGGAAAAUUCAUCACCUUUAUUAUGUGUACCCACAUGUCAGUGGCGGACAGGGGAGGAAAAGGGGUUGCUUGCUCCCUCUAUUUGAUGAAUUGAGGGAUUGAUACAAAAAUAUAGGGAAGAGGAAUUGAGAAAGGGGGCUUGGUGGAGUAGUUUUUCACCUCAUUUCACUUUAUGACAAUUUUUUAGGAAAAGGAGAUUGCUUUUCUCCAUUUGGUGGAGUUGCUCUAAUGACCUUAUUUAAGAAACAAGGAUAAAGAGACCAAAUCAAAGAUUAAGGGUCACAAUGCGAGCAUCAUUUAGGGGAACAAAUUUUAAUGGACUUUUUAGAAAAAAAAGCUUCAUAUAUAUAUAUAUAUAUAUAUAUACUUUUUCCGUAAAACCCCCAUGCUACAACCAUGGUGGUUCAUAAAAUUCUUUUUUUUCAAUCACAUGCAAGUAACUAAGUAAGCAACACCUAAGUGACACAACCAUUAUAUAUGAUCUCCUUAUUAUAAUAAGAGGCUCAGAGGAAGAUGAGUGUUUUGAAAGCCUAUCAACAAUUUUUUUUUCAGACUCCAAAACCAACGAGAUUAAAGUUUGAAAUUUAAGAUUCAGAGUUUAGGGUUUCACCAACAUGAGCUAGCAUCUCCAAGAGUUUUUCUUAAACUCACUCUUUAAAUCCUCAGUUGGAGAGCCAUUUUUUGUAUAAAAAUCGUUUUCUAUAUCUUUCCACCUUCUAUCAGUUUCUCUAUAUCUUGUCUGCACUUUGGAUAGCCAUCCCCACUCUUCAUCUUUAACUAGGCCUUGUUUAGUUCCAAAAAAAAUUUAUAAAAAUUUUCAGAUUCCCCGUCACAUCGAAUUUCGCGGCACUUGCAUGAAACAUUAAAUAUAGAUAAAAGAAAUAACUAAUUACACAGUUUAUCUAUAAUUUGUAAGACAAAUUUUUUUAGCAUAGUUAGUUUAUAAUUGGACAAUAUUUAUCAAAUACAAAUAAAAUGCUACAGUAUCCAUUUUGCAAAAAGUUUUGGAACUAAACAAGGCCCUAGUAAGAAAACAGGAACAGAAUGAAGAUGGCAAUAUUUGAAGAUCUAAUUGAAAAGCCGUUGAAAUGCUUUUUUCACCAAAUUAAAAUCUCUAUUCUUAUCAAUAUGCAUGGAAGGAUAUAUGUAACACCCUAACAUUUGCUUGUUUUUAAAUAGUUGAAUUUGAUUUUAUAGUCAAUUUUGUGAGCAUCAAAAUAUAGGAAAAAUAAAUAAAUUUGGAGAAUUAAAAAAAUUAAUAUAAGUUUAGAAAAUUUUUGAUGCAUACAUGUUGGUGCUUUUUUAUGGUGAUGAUUGUUUUAAAAACAAAAUGUCUAUGUGCUUAAAAAUUCAAUUGGAAAAUGCAUGUAGAAAAUGUAUUUGAAAAAGAAAAUGAAUUUUUUUCCCUCCCCCUUCUCCUCUCGGCCUGCUCGGCCCAGUCCCCCACACCCCCCCCCCGCGCCCCCUCUCUCUUUCCUGGGCCGCGGUCCAGCCGGCCAUUUUCCCCCUUCCCCUCUCCUCACCCGCUGACAGGCCGGGCCCGCCUGUCAUCCCUCUCCUCCAUCCAAACCGCCUCCUCCCUCUCUCCCGAUUCUGCAGAACCGCUGCACCCCGCUCCCACUUCCCCCACGACUCCUUUCUCCCUCGCGUUUUGCUCAUUUGGAAGAGCGUCCGCGCCCGAGCCGCCCUCCCCCCUCCCCUCAUUUCACUUCCCUCGCAUCUGCUCCACUUGCGCAAGCACCGAAAACCACCGCCGUUGGCCGCGCGUCGCUCGGCGUUUCGAGCCGUCUUUGCCCCGCUUCUCGCCGUGGUGAGCAUCUCCUUCUCCCCCUCUUUCUCUCGGUGAUUCUUUCGCUCCGUUUCGUGGCCUCUAGGGCCUUGUUCGCGCGCACCGAGGGCGUCAACAAUGGUGUCGCCGUGGUCCGCACUGCGCGGGUCCUUCUCCGGCCGUGCUGAGCUCGGGAAUGAAUUCGUUUCGUUCUCCUCUUUCUCCCGGUACUCGCGGUUUCGAAUUUGGUGCACCGUAGCGCCCGAACGGCUUACUCCGGCGAGCUCCUCGCCGCCGGCAAUGGCUGCCGCCGCAACCUUCCCCAACUCCGGCCGCUAGUCCCCUCUCUCUCCCCUCCCAUCUAAUCUCGCCCGUUGAUCUUGAAUCUGACGGCCAGGAAAUGCCCAUACCCCUUCGGCCUGGAAAAUUUUCUAAAGAGACCCCCUAGUUUUCUAAUUUCUAUCCCGCAGUCCAAAGCGCAUAUGAGGGAAUACGCUUUCCAUUUUUGAAAACGUAAAGUCUGCCGAUUUAUUUCAAAAUACGUUUUCUAUAUUUACAAAAAUGCCACUGAGUAUGUUUUGGCCAUAAAAUAUUCGUUUUAGCUCCGAUUUGACCCGUUCAAAUUGCGUUAGAUUCGUUUUCGCGAGUUCAACAUGUUAGUAAUCUUGGUUCAUCAGUUUGAAACUUUUUAAUUUUGUGAUCCUAUUUAAUUAAUUACUUUUCUAAAGAAAAUCUUAGAAAAUUCAUAUCUUUUCCGUUUUAGCUCCGAUUCAAUCCAUUCAAGUUGCGUUAGUUUCAUAAUUUCGUAAGCUUCGCGUUAGUACCACUGUUGUUUAGGUUUACCACUGUUAGAUUUCCUAGUUAAUUACAAGUCCGUAGAUAGCCUUUGAAGUCUCGUUUAAUGUGUAGAUUUCGCGUCGUAACUCCGUUUUGCGUGAAUUUUGCGUUGACGUGAUCGUAGCAGCGUGUAGAUGAUUUUGGAAAGCUUUUAUUAAAUUUAUUUACUGCUGGUGUACUGUUCUAAUUGUAAUCUUGUUUGCUUCGUGUAUGUCUGUCUCCGAUUGCUUGUGUGUUGAUGAUUGGUGAUCGAGAUUAGACAGUGGGCAUUACUUCGGUGAUCAAGAUCAGAGCUCUGGAAGCAAGUAAGAUCAGCAGAACCAGUAGGAGCAAUUGGAUUCAAGGCAAGUAUAGCAUUUGGGUUUUAAUUCUAUGACUAUGAUCUUGUGACUAGAUUAAUAUAAAGCAACAAAUGAUAAUAAUGACUUUUUAGCAACUUGAGGAUUUAUUCGUAUGUGAUAACCGGGAUGAAAGUGCAACCAUGAGGGCUAUAAUGGCUCUGGCUUUAGUCAAGUAUGAGUAAUUUUUCUAGCUUGUUAGAGGUUACCCGUGUGGCGCAAAUGGGGGAUAGCAGACCGUGGAUUCCCUGCGAGUGGUAGAAUCACACGGACUGACUACCGAAACCAAGCGGCCCUAACUUGUUAGACGAACCUUUGAAAUACUUCAUAGUGAUCCCUGCCGACCUACCUUGGUAGUGGGUUACGAGACUGAUCACCUCAGGCGAAAGGGUAAAUCAUGACUCAUGGGUAAAGAUGUACAACCUCUGCAGAGUGUUAAAAACUGAUAUAGUAGCCGUGCUCACGGUCACGAGCGGCCUUGGGAACUCUUACAUUAAGGGUGAUGAAUCUUGUGUUAAGAAACUCAUUGAUUAUUGUUUAAUGCUCUAUAUUAUUUAUGUCACAUUGAUCAUGAGAUUGUGGGAUCUAUACAAUCUAGUUGUUAUACUUGUGGAGUUCGUCUUGAACUCACUCUUGCUAUCUCUCCCAUAUCUCAGGAGAAGUUUUGGGCUUGUGAUCAACCAGUCAGUUGGAUCCUGUAGAGUGAGGUUAACACCCGAAGUUUGGAGUUCACUUCCGUGUUUGCUGCCCAAGGUUGUUUCUAAUUUAUUAUCUACGCUAUAUAAUUUAUGCAUUGUCCUUUGAUAUUAUCCUUUAUUUGUAGCUAUAUGUGAGGCUUGUCUUCUAAAACUCACAUAUGGUGCAUAUCUGAUUUUGUUUUUAAAAUCGGAUGUUACAAUAUAAAGAGACACUAGUUGAAGGAAGGUCGCUGACUGCAAGCAGGUUGGCGGUGGUGGCGGGCAUAGAGCCGACAAUGCAAGGCUGCGUUGGUAUAUCACGUUGGUACGGUGGAAUAGGGUAGGCAGAGCAGAGCAGAGCAGAGCAGAGAGGGGCCGGCCGGGGUUCUAGACUUCUAGUGUCACUAAACAAGCCGCCAAUGACACGUACAGCGAGGAGGAGACGGCCGGUGUCAUGGCAUAUAAAUGAGUUAAUUUGCUAGCGGGGGUUGAGAAAAAAAAAUGAGCUAGUGUUUUUACCCCUGCAGCAGGUAAUUAAUAACUGUGUUUAUAUAUAUAGCCCCAGGUAAUAACAAGAGGUUAAACUUUCUUCAUUUGCAGGGUCGUCGUCCACACACAUCAUGUCAACGUUUUUAAUGAUAAGAUUUGAUUUUUUUAUACACGUGCCGACACGCUUCGUUCUCUUUGUAGGGACCCUUGCAUUGCAACAAGUUGAAUGGAAGGUAACUAAUUAAUUAAAAAGGCCAAGUGGCUUUUGUGAUAAGGGGGGUUGAAUAAUGAAUUAAAAAGAAUAGCAAUUGGAAUAGAAAUAAACUAAAAAGCUGGUGAUAAGGAAGCUAGGCUCGAUCUCCAGGUUGAGCACAAACAAACAAUAUGCAUGCUUGACCUUUUCUUGCUAUAUACAUAUACCACUAUAUAUCUACAUGCAUGCCCUACCUUUUGGCCCAAUCCUGAUUAACCUAGCAUUAUCUCAUCGUAAAAAAAAUUACAUCCACUAGCAGAGCAGCCAGUUAGUGGUCUAUUCACUACACAGCCUUGUUUAGUGCGCGUGAGUAGUGCAUGGAUGCCGGCUCUCUUUGUAUGUGUGUGUGUGUGUGUGUGGUAUAGCAGCGGUAUAUAGUAACAGGGACAGCAGGCCGGGAAACGGAUGCAUGGUGACCUCAUCACAUCACAUCCGUUAAAUAUUUGUUCCCCACUCACCAGCUCUUCUCGAAUUCUCGACCGUUCACCUUUACUUUUCUUGUUUUUCCUUAUUUCCAUAUGAACCAAAUUAAUUGGCAUUUUUUUUCUUUCAGAUGGCAACGGGUUCGAGAUGGAGAGAAAGCGAUGUUUUCUCUAGUCUAGUUGUUGAAUGCACGCAAGCAGGUAAUACCAUGUUCCUAUGAACCUUGUAGCGACUAAAAAUAUAUAUUUUUAAAUUAAUUAUGCUCAUAGACAUCAGAGGAUGUUUAAUUAGUAAGGCUCUUCCUGAGAAGCCUCUCCGAAGGAGCCGGGACCAUUUUAAAAGUGUGGUUUUUCCAAAACAGUUUCCACUUCUCUAUUUUUUUUAGAGAAAAAUGACUUCUCCAAAAAAAUAUUUAGAAGGGAUCCUUACAAGAGUUAAAGCCGGAGCGGAGAGAGGAUCCCUACUAAACAUAUUAUGACAAAAAAAUUAAUGGCAAAAAAGCGAGCACAUAUGUCACUACUGGAAACUGACUUUUUGCCUAGUGCCAGAGACUUUGCCGAGUGUCAAAUGUCGGACACUCGGCAAAGCCUUUCUUUACCGAGUGCAACGCUCGCUCGGCAAAGAAAAACACUCGGCAAAAAGGUCUUUGCCAAUAUUUUUUUUGCCGAGUGCAAUUAGGCCUUUGCCGAGUGCCUGGGGCAUUAGCCAAAGGCCCAGUCUCCAGUAGUGUGCUAGUCAGAGCUUGAAUACUAGAAUGAGCAGAUUACACAGCAACAAACUCUUCAAUUUAGGAUAAAUAUAUGUAUUUUUAAAGAAAGUACUAGUAUUAGUCGAAGUGUCAUGACGAAGAUUGUGUUAGGAACCAAUAUGCUUAACUAGUUAUUAAUUAAUUCACGUUAACUAACUUAUUUUGCCCCCAAAGAAAUGCGAAAGAAAUGACUUAUUCAGGAAUAAAUACGCGUUAGAUAAUAAAAGGUACAGCGUGAAAAAUACGGCCACUUACAUUUGUCUAUUCUUCAAAAUGCAAAUUCACACAACAGCUGAAUAAGUUCCAUCUUUCCCGCCGAUUAUCUGUACAUUUUGGAUUCUAUUAUUCUUGCCACUUUCUGUGGUACUGGAAAGUGAUAAAAAAAGGUUCAGCUCGAUUUUUUUUUGGGGGGGGGGGGGGGGAGGGGGCAGAAGAAAGGUCGGUAGAUUUCGAGGUUGACAAAUAAAGUUACAUUGAUAUCUCGAUAUUCAUAAACAUGUCACCUACAAUUAAAAGAAUAACGUUAUUAAAUUCUCAAAUAUAUAUUUAUGAAAAAUACAAACACUUGCGUCCAGUCAAUUUGGGUAAGCAGAUUUCACAAAGAAGCUAAACCAACUGACGCUCAGUUGGCCAAGAGAUGGUACUACGUACAUGCAUGACAAACGUGCUAGAGUUGCAGGGUGUUGAAAAUAAACUAAGACUAAACAAGAUUUUUUUAGAUAAUAAGACUAAACAAGAUAUUAAGUUACUCUAAAUAUGAUCACUAACUUAUUUUAAUGCUGCCUUUGUGCUUGAUGUAGAAAUUGAUGUAGAUGAAGUAGAUAUUAGUCUUCACUAGAUUGGGGCUUGACGCUCCUAAUUAGUGAAGAACGCGGUAGAUCUUGCAAUACUUGGACGGAUGUGGGUAGACGAUCUUCCUAAAUCUGGCGCCUAAUUGAUCGGUUACGUGGAUAAAGCCGUCAAGGAUGUCCCCUCUUAUUUAUAUAUAUGAUAUGAUGUGGGCUAGGGCUGAACCCUAGAAGAUCUAAGGAUUGCCACCGAUCAUAGUAAAUCUUAUUUAGUUGGAAAUGAAUGAUAGGUGGGUGGACUCAAAAACUUAACGCUUAAUUAAUCUCGAGGUUAGCUGAACUGAUCAUAUUCCAACAGGAGGGGGCUCUGGCUAUUCCAACUUGUGUACGGUACAUCAAAGCCGUUGUUUCUCUCUUCUGCAAAUGAAUUAGGAGCCAACAAGAGAAGCCACUAUUUUUAGAUCCUCUAGCUCCAGCUCCUCGACCAGUGUAGCAUCGAGCCAGAGUCAGAAGAAGUCUAGCCAAACAUGCCCUUAGAGGUAGGCCAUGUUUAGCAUGGCUUCACUUUUUAUUGAAGUCGUUUUUUCAGCUUCUUCACAAUCAACUCUUCCAGUGAAGCUAGAACUGUUUUAGACCAUAUUUGGCAAAACACCUCUCCACAUGUUAGAAAAAAUAUCUUCUAAACUUUAAAAUGACUAUUAUACCCAUCUCUUCCUCCUCUAUUUCCCCAUCUUCUUCUCUCCCCCGUGGCUUCUCUUUUCUCCGCACACCACACAUCGACUCGGCUACUUGUGAGCUCAAGAAGAUGGUUGCCGGUCAUGGUGACGGCCGGUCUAUCGUGUGCCUUGGUGUCCCAAGUCAUGACACCCGCAUGGCAGGGUCCACGAGUACAGAUUGGAGCCGGGUGAACAAAACAAUUGUUUUCAGCUCUACUCCACGUGAGAAUAGAUUUUAAGGGACUCUUCCGUGACCAUUGCGUUUUACUCUGUUCGGUACAAAAUAAUUCUAAAUAAUUCUUAAUGCCGGUGAAAAACCGUGCCACAGUGUUCAAGUUUCAGUAAAUUGUUUUCUUAAAUUUAGAAGAUGUGGAUAGAAUUAAAUGUUUAUUUAACUGAAUCAGUACCUAUAUAUCGACACGACGAUGCACUAUUACACAUGUACCAAUACAAGUUCAGGCAAAAUAAGGCCUCGUUUAGUUCACUCUAAAAACCAAAAACUUUUCAAGAUUUCCUGUCUCAACGAAUCUUGCGGUACAUACAUAGAGCAUUAAAUAUAGUCAAAAAUAAAAACUAAUUACACAGUUUACCUGUAAAUUACGUGAUAAAUCUUUUGAGCCUAAUUAGUUCAUGAUUGGACAAUAAUUGCUAAAUAAAAACGCAAAUGUUACAGUACCCGAAAUCAAAAAAAAAGGGAACUAAACAAGGCCUAAAUAAAUAAAUAUUUUUUAGGAAAAAAAGAAUUUGUUCUAAUAAUCUCCGCAUAUGUUAUAGAAUAUACUUUGUCAAUUAUUAUAUAUGAGAUCAAUCUCUUGCGGAUUAAAACAUGCUUUCAAAAAUUAAACGAGGAAAAGGAAAGAAACGGAAUUUACAAAACUGCUGUCAGCAGAACAUGGGUAAUUCUUAGUAGUAUAUAAAAGUUAUUACUUGGGCCUCCAUUCGAAACGUCAGUUUGGGCUGGGCCAUACGUCGCCAUCAUCCUCCGGGCACUCUCAUGCAUCCUCAUAGGAUGGCUGGGCCAUUCGGUCGAGGCAUGGCCUUUUUGUUUCAAACCUAUCCUGAAUUUUGGCUUAUCCUUGCCUGUGACGUGUAAACCUAUCCUGAAUUUUGGCCUAUCGUUGCAUGGUCAUCUUAGAAUUUGCAGCUCGAUGUUUACUCAAUGGUCGUGUCAUACGUCGCAAUUUGUCUUAAAAUCAAAUUCCACAACGUGUGCACACAGUUUUAGGACCUCUUAGAUCCCUUGGGUGUGUGUGCAUGCAUGCAGUGCACCCUGCUAGGGAUCGAUGUGUGGCCAAUGAGAUCUAUACACAUAUUUUCUAACCGUAUUUGAGACCAAAUUUAUUUAUAAGUGUUUAUAUGUGUCCAUAUCUAAGUCUAGAUAUUCAACAUCCGAUACUGUAUGCGUAUCUGAAUUCUCAAAUCACAUAUUUAUAAUGUCAAUAUCCAAUUAUAUCUUAUCUGGCAUGGUUGAUAUAUCUGUAUUGGAAUCCGAAUCCGGACAGAAAUAAAAAACAAAUAUAAUAUUAGUGAUAUCCGUCUGUAUUCGAUCCAUUUUUCAUCCCUACAUUCAUGCCUGCCUAUAUGAGGCUAAUAUAGGAUAUGUUUGGUUUUGAGCCGUGAGCCAUAAAUAAAAUAUCAUGAACUAUAUGAGCCGCGAAAAAAAUAAUUGUGAGUUAUGUGCAUUGAAAAGGUUAAAUUGUUUAGUUAAAACAACCGUGAAAACUAUCCACUCCCUUUAUCUCCCUUAAAAGAGCUAUAAAACAUCACUCUAUUUUCACCCAUUUGGAAAAAAAUUGAAAACCAAACAGCAAAAGCAAGGUCCAAGGUGUUGUAAAAAAUUUAAAACGCGAAAGCAACUGCUUCCACAAAAAGCGGCAGUUGUUCUGCCUUUUGCAGCAGAAACAUUUUUCGAGAAAAUGAACCAAAUAUAGCCACAACCUACCUCACCUAGAUAGCAGCAUCUUUCAUGUGAGAAUGUAAAUAUAUAUGCAUAUUUUUUCAUUAAUAUACAACAUAUUUUGGUGUGUGCAUUUCUACUACGGUUUUUAGCACGUAAGGAUGUUUAGGUAUUAAUGUAUUAUAGUGAAAUAGAGCACUCCCUUUUGUUCUUGCAAUUUCUGGAGCAGAGCAGUCAAGCAUCUAGAUAUCCCACUUGGCAUACAUACAUCCUCACGUCCUCGCUCUACUAUUUUUAUCAGUAGCCAAAAACCAAAGGCUCUGGAAUCCACAGUGCCAGGGUGGUGGACCUAUAUAUAGUCGUUUCCUAUGACCCCAUCACAAUCUCCUGCUACUUGAAACCAAUCCAUCCUAGCUUCCUUCUUGUCUCCCCUCCGUCAAGCAGUGUCACUCUCUAUCCCCAUGGGUAAUGUCGUCGUCAUUAAUUAUGCAAGCAUAGUUAGUUGUUGUGUUUCAAUUUUGGGAGUGGGUUGAUGGUGGUGAUAUGAUUUCUAUUGAUCUAAUGUGUUUCUUGGUUUGAUUGGUUUUUUGUUUAAAUUUGCUCCAUCUGGUGUGCAGCGAAGAUCAAGAUCGGGAUCAAUGGUGAGUUCUAUUCACAACCUCUUACAAAUUUGAUCGGUUUUGUUGGUCUAUUUGAGUUCUUAGUUUGCAUGGAUAUUUGGUUUGUGCAGGGUUUGGUAGGAUUGGUAGGCUUGUGGCGAGAGUGGCUCUGCAAAGCAGCGAUGUUGAGCUUGUCGCCGUCAACGACCCCUUCAUCAGCACUGAGUACAUGGUAUGUUUCGUCUCUCUAAUAUUUCACUUCUUCUAGUACUUAUGGGAGUGCAUGAAGUAUGAUUUGUUGAACCUACACGCUUGUUUGAUGGUAAUAUAUAUGUAUAGUUUAUAUGGUUUUGGUCUUGUUGGAUGGGGCCCAUGUUGGAUGGGAUGUAUAUAUGGGGUGUCAUGCACUAUAUUGAUCCAUGUUAAGGUUCAUCGAAAUUUUAUGAUCUGAUCGAAUUACAUCAGAUAUAUUCCAUUGUUGAAAUAUAUGUUUUGUGUAGAUCUUGAAUUCUCUAAAUCUUAUUAGUCCUACAUUUGGCAAGUUUGAUUAGCUUACCUACACCAAUUGAAUCUCAUCCUGUUCUUGCAGACAUACAUGUUCAAGUAUGACACUGUCCAUGGACAGUGGAAGCACCAUGAUGUCAAGGUGAAGGACUCGAAGACCCUUACUUUUGGUGAAAAUGAGGUUGUUGUGUUUGGUUGCAGGUUUGUUGCCAUUCCUUUUGAUAUUGUGUAUUUCAUACUGAAUUCAAUCGUGGGCUAAUCGGUCACGAACGACAUGUUUGCAGGAACCCUGAGGAGAUCCCGUGGGGUUCGGUUGGCGCUGAUUAUGUUGUUGAGUCUACUGGUGUUUUCACUGAACAGGACAAGGCUGCAGCUCACUUGAAGGUACAUUCUUCAUUAUUCCUAGUGUUUAGUUAUUCUAAGGUCUCCUUAUAUAUUAGUUCUUCCAAAGUGUUGAAAGGAUUUGGUUGUUUCUCUAUGUUCUUUUACAGGGUGGUGCUAAGAAGGUCAUCAUUUCUGCUCCUAGCAAGGAUGCACCCAUGUUCGUCGUCGGUGUUAACGAGAAGGAAUACAAGUCUGACAUUAACAUUGUCUCUAAUGCUAGCUGCACUACCAACUGCCUUGCUCCUCUUGCUAAGGUGCUUCUUGUUAUGAUGUUUUACCGCUGACAUAAACUGCUAUUUAGUUAGGAUUCUAUAUAUCACCUUACCCCGAUCAUUUGUAUUUGUUCUAUGUAGGUCAUCAAUGACAAGUUUGGCAUUGUGGAGGGUCUGAUGACCACCGUUCAUGCCAUCACUGGUAAGCUUAUUUUUUAAUAGAUUAAGAGGGAAAUUUGUGCAGUUAUAUAUUUCUUGUCUUUAAGUAAUGAGGCAUAUGUGGAUCUUACACAGCUACCCAAAAGACGGUUGAUGGGCCAUCAGCUAAGGACUGGAGAGGUGGAAGGGCUGCUAGCUUCAACAUCAUUCCCAGUAGCACCGGAGCUGCUAAGGUUAGGAAACUAAACUUGUUUCUUUUGCUUGUGUACUACACAAUAUGCUACAAUGUUAUUACCUUCAUGCUUUGCAUAAAAGAAAGUAUUGUAAUAAUGUAAAAUGGUGUAUAUAUAGUUAAUUUCAAAGUUUCUAAAAAAUAGAAACACAUCUUCCUACAUUUUUGUUAGAAUCACUUCUAUUUUGUGGAUUUAUUGAAUUUUAGUUUGUUACUACUUAAUUUCUUGUAGGCUGUUGGCAAAGUGCUUCCUGCCCUUAAUGGGAAGUUGACUGGAAUGGCUUUCCGUGUUCCUACCGUUGAUGUCUCUGUCGUUGAUCUGACUGUUAGGCUUGAGAAGUCAGCUACCUAUGAUGAGAUCAAGGCUGCGAUCAAGUGAGUUUUAGUUUAUGUAAUGGCCAGUGUUGGCCAACAUUCAAAUGCACAUUGAAUUGUUUUAGAUGGCCAUUCUGAUGUUCGUACAAACAUCUCCAUUAUUCUUCAUAGGGCCGAGGCAGAGGGUGCCCUCAAGGGCAUUUUGGGUUAUGUUGACGAGGACCUUGUUUCCACUGACUUCCUAGGUGACAACAGGUAUUGGUAUUAUACAUACUAUGAUCCAAUAACCUUUACCAUUUUGUGAUAAUCAUUCGUUAACUAUUAAUUAGGUCCCUCGCCCUACUUAUAUAUUUUUUUGGUAAUUGUCUCUCUCAAUCGCAGGUCUAGCAUCUUUGAUGCUAAGGCCGGCAUUGCUUUGAAUGGUAACUUCGUGAAGCUUGUGUCCUGGUAUGACAACGAGUGGGGAUACAGGUUAGUAGCCUGUACUGAGUGUGUUAUAUAUCUGGCAUUGGCUAGGGCUUUUGUCUGUGCACUUCAAUUUCGCUAAAUCCUAACUCGUUUUUUCUUUCAACUCUUUCCAGCACCCGUGUGAUCGACCUGAUCUGCCACAUGUACGGCACCAACUAGAUGAGCAAACUGAAAUCCAGGUUGAGUUGUGUUUCGUCAUCGGAGAAGUGUAGAGAGCCUCUUCUGAGAAUAAAUUUUGUAACGAAUUAUAGUGUGUGUAUAUGUAACCCAUUGGUUGGUUGAGUAUGUGGUGGCUCAUAUUUUGUCUGGUUUAUGUGCCAUCGUUAAACUUUUAACUGAUAGUUGCAUUCUCUCAUUUGUCUUUAUAUCCCGCUAUAGUUCCGCAUGCUUUCAGAAGUAGUAUUCAUUUCAUAUAUACAGUAGUAUUAGGCCCUGUUUGGUUCCCUUUGCUAAAUUUUAGUUAGCUAAAUUUUAAUCACUUUAGUAGCUAAAGCUCCAAACACAUUGACUAAAAGGAGCUAAAAUAGUUUAGUUCAUUAGUCACCCAAAAGUAGCUAAAAUAAUUUUAGCUAGCUAAAAUUUAGCAAGGGGAACCAAACAUACCCUUAUAAUCAUUAUUAUUACUUUGGCGGUUUCCUGUUGGGCCUCCAGGAUUUCGAAAGAUCAGUUUGGGCUGGGCCGCAGGUCCAUGCAUCCACGAAUCAUGGAUGAACCGUUCGGGGGGCCAUGUAUAUAUGGCAUCCCCUGCCAAUUUGCACACACCAACGGAUUUCUGAGAUGCAGAAUCUCUCAUAAAAAAAACCAUCAGAGUCCUAUUUUAAAUCAUCCUCUCCUGCCACUUUGCACACACCAAUGCAAAACUCUGAUUUCUGAGAUGUAUAAUUCAGCAAACUAACUAAGCUUUAGGCCUAACAAUAAUAAUAGCAUAUUGCUUGUGAUGGCAUAGUUGAUAGUUACACUAUUCUUGUUAUGCAACCCAUCCUGAAUAAUGAGGCCUAGAAGUCAUCAGAGUCCUAUUUCAAAUCAGAAGUUUUCACUGGCUGGAAGAUGGUUGGAAGUCAUCAGAGUCCAACUUGGCUCUAUACAAAUGCCCUUAGCUAGCUUCUGGAGACUUGAGGAAGUCAUGAGUGAGUCAGCAGUAUACCCAAUAACCCAACCUCUGAUUGUGCAGCAUGCAGCUAAGUCCUCCUGCUGCCUAAAAAACAGCACACACAAGAAAACAAAGAUCGACAAGAAGAAAUAAGAUCCUCUGUCUCACUGAUGAUCUUUCCACGUCUACCUGCCGCAGG
rnacentral:lncRNA from 1 species